rnacentral:rRNA from 1 species
UACGGAGGGUGCAAGCGUUAUCCGGAUUCACUGGGUUUAAAGGGUGCGUAGGCGGCGCGGUAAGUCGGGUGUGAAAUCUUGGAGCUUAACUCCGAAACUGCAUUCGAUACUGCCGUGCUUGAGGACUGGAGAGGAGACUGGAAUUUACGGUGUAGCGGUGAAAUGCGUAGAUAUCGUAAGGAAGACCAGUGGCGAAAGGCGGGUCUCUGGACAGUUCCUGACGCUGAGGCACGAAGGCCAGGGGGAGCAAACGGGG